rnacentral:rRNA from 1 species
UACAGAGGGUGCGAGCGUUAAUCGGAAUUACUGGGCGUAAAGCGUGCGUAGACGGUUACAUAAGUCGGGUGUGAAAGCCCCGGGCUCAACCUGGGAAUUGCAUUCGAGACUGCGUAGCUAGGGUGCGGAAGAGGGAAGCGGAAUUUCCGGUGUAGCGGUGAAAUGCGUAGAUAUCGGAAGGAACACCAGUGGCGAAAGCGGCUUCCUGGAUCC